rnacentral:hammerhead_ribozyme from 1 species
GCACUGCUGAGGGGUCCCACAAUAGAACGAAACAGCUGUUCAGUGC